AAAGAGUAACGGAGGAGCACGAAGGUUUGCUAAGUACGGUCGGACAUCGUACGGUUAGUGUAAUGGUAGAAGCAAGCUUAACUGCGAGACGGACAAGUCGAGCAGGUACGAAAGUAGGUCAUAGUGAUCCGGUGGUUCUGAAUGGAAGGGCCAUCGCUCAACGGAUAAAAGGUACUCCGGGGAUAACAGGCUGAUACCGCCCAAGAGUUCAUAUCGACGGCGGUGUUUGGCACCUCGAUGUCGGCUCAUCACAUCCUGGGGCUGAAGUCGGUCCCAAGGGUAUGGCUGUUCGCCAUUUAAAGUGGUACGCGAGCUGGGUUUAGAACGUCGUGAGACAGUUCGGUCCCUAUCUGCCGUGGGCGUUUGAGAAUUGAGAGGGGUUGCUCCUAGUACGAGAGGACCGGAGUGAACGAACCGCUGGUGUUCGGGUUGUCAUGCCAAUGGCACUGCCCGGUAGCUACGUUCGGAAUCGAUAAGCGCUGAAAGCAUCUAAGCGCGAAGCGAGCCUCGAGAUGAGUUCUCACUAGAGCUAUAAGCUCUCUGAAGGGCCGUUGGAGACUACAACGUUGAUAGGUUGGGUGUGGAAGCGCUGUGAGGCGUUAAGCUAACCAAUACUAAUUACCCGUGAGGCUUAACCAUA
rnacentral:rRNA from 1 species